GGUUGCUUUGUUUAUUAUAAAAUAAACAUAUUUUAGUGUCCUCUUCUGCAAUGUUCAUUUGGGUAAGUUGAGCUAAGACAGUAUGGAAAUACUUGAAAACUAAAUGAAGUACAGAAAGAAAAAUUAUGUAAUACAGGUUGUCCCCAAGAAAAAAAGGUAGGAGUUGUCAGCCAGCAAAUUAAAUAUUUUCACUCAAUUUUUCAUUCCUUGAUCUAUCCUUGCUCACAAAUUUGUUUUUAAGUAAAGCAAACUUAAUGUAAAGUCUUGUAUCACAUUGCCUCAAGUUAACCUAUUAAUAAUUAAUAUCUAGCUACAGAAUAAGGGUGAAACAGGGAGAUGUGUGAUUUUUUUUUUUUUAAAGCAACAAUUUAAUUCUAUUAUAAUGCUGCAGUCCUAGGGAUUACUCCAUUCGCUCUCUGAAAGCCAGAGCGUCAGAAUGGCCAUGCUACAAUCAAAGAUAGACUGAAAUUUAUUUCUAAAAAUUAGAGUUUUCUCUUAUGCAUUUCUAUUAUCAAAAGCAGUUGAGUGCAGAAGAUCACAUCAGUAAUCUGAUGGUCCUGCCAGAUUUCUGGAUGGGUUUUAGGGUCUCCAUGCAACAGCAGCUGGUAUUGCUACUUAAAUUACUUCACCUAAAGAUAGCCAAUAUAGGUUGGUUUUUUCCCUAGAGUGGUAACAAAAUUUUUUCCCACGUUCUUCCUAACUAGGUCCCCCCAAGGUUUUUACUGAUAAGAAAGAUUAAUACAGGUGGGUGCUAAAUCCAAGUGACAAUAAAAAAGUAUAUUUACAUAUUGAAAUACAUAUUAUUAUGCAGAAACCUGCUCAUUUGGCUUCUUUCUCUUUUCCUUUCAUUUGUGGAUGGCAAGGGGAAAAUCAAGGUCAAGUCACUUGUUUAAAAGACUAGAAACAAUGAGAGAAGCUAGCUGCAUGUUAGGAAGACAGUUUUUCACAGUGGAGCCUUCACCCAGCUCAGAGACAGCACCAUGCAUGGUGGGAGUGUUGAUCUGCUAGAGGCCAGUGGUGUGAGGUACAACAAGGCCAGGGCUGGUCCUGCCCUUGGGUCACAGCAACCCCAGGCAGUGCCACAGGCUGGGGCAGAGUGGCUGCAGAGCUGCCCACAGGAAAAGGCCCUGGGGGUGCUGGUGACAGCAGCUGAGCAUGAGCCAGCAGUGCCCAGGGGGCCAAGAGGGCCAAUGGCACCUGGCCUGUGCCAGCAACAGCGUGGCCAGCAGGAGCAGGGCAGGGAUUGUCCUCAUUUUCUCAACACUGGUGAGGCCACAACUUGAAUUGUGUGUUCAGUUUUAGGCCCCUCAGUACAAGCAAGGCAUUGAGGUGCUGGAUUGUGUCCAGAGAAGAACAAUAGACUUGUAAAGUGUUCUGAAAACAAGUCUCAUGAGGAGCAACUGAGGGAGCUGGGGCUGUUUAGCCUAGAGACAAGGAGGCUCAGAAGGACCAAACCUUAUCCCUACAAGUGCCUGAAAGGAGGCUGUAGCCAGGUGGGGGUCAGUCUCUUCUCCCAGGUAACAAGUGACUUGACAAGAGAAAAUAACCUCAAGUUCUCAUGGGUAGGUUUAGAUUGGAUAUUAAGAAAAUUUCUUCACAGACAAAAUGGCCAAGCAUUGGAACAGGCUGUCCAGGAAGUGGUUGAGUUACCAUUACUGAAGGGAUUUAAAAUUCAUAUAGAUGUGACGCUUAGAGACAUGGUUUAGUGGUGGACUUGGCUGUGCCUGGUUCAUGAUUGGACAUGAUGAUCUUAAAGGUAUUUUCCAAUCUAGACAAAUUCUGAUUCUCUGAUUCCCAAAGUGUUCAUAUCUCUAGGCAUCUGUAUCAACAGCAAAACCAGAAAUAUUACAUACAGCAGUUAGCUUUUUCCAGCAGCUCUGUUCACACUUGUGGAGUUAAUUCCUGGCUCUUUAUUCAACAUCCAUUGUUCCCUGUUAAACAAGGGGGGGUACUGUAGCUGUAGGAUUUAGGGAAGAGAGUGAGAGAGGGAGAGGGAAAAGCAAGAAAUUAAAUCCUAGACAUACAAACUUACCACAAUAUACUGUCAAAAACACUCAUCCACAGCUGCACUGCACAGGCUGCACAGGUUGAUCCCAUAAAAACUUUUUGGUACCUAGAAAUGCAUAAAGUGUUCUGGGAAAAAUAGCUUUUUUCUGUGUUCCAACCAAAUCUAGGCACCCUAACUGUAAAUGGCACCUGUAAAUGGUGGGUGAAGAAUGGCUAAACAAUUUCCCCCCUUUCUUCUGUCUUCCAAAAGGCCAAAUUUCAACUUUCCUACUGUUACUUUACCUUUCCACAGAUACACUAUACAGCACUGAGGUGUCAUUAUCCGCUAGAAUGGACAUAUGGAGACAUUUCACACUAUGCCUCUGAAAGAACAAGACACACCAAGAAGAAAAUAGGAAGAAGGAUUGAGGCACUCUUAAACUACUUUGUAAUCUUGAGCUUUCCAGAAUUGGGAGUGGACCUUGUAUAAAUCAAAACAGGGAUGAGGGCACCUCUUUUAUCUUGGAAGUUUGCUUCUUUAAUGUUUCUGGAAGAGCCUGUAUUUUCUCUUGUAAAUGGUACUCACACAAUGUUCUGUGUAUGUAUUUUGACAGGAGAGACAAGAAGACAUGAAAACAAAUAGAAAAGUGGAACAAUACACAGAGAAGACAAAAAGAUGAGGGAAAAUGUGAGUACUUCAGUUUACAAGAAAAUACCAAAGGGAAGUAAGGAAAAGAUCAAUUGGAGAUCAAAAUAUAUUAAAAUCACAGAUUCUGAAGAGUUGGGAAGUAUACCAUAAUGUUUCAAAAUUGACAAAAAGAGAGUUUUGUGUUAAAAAAUAUUGUUUGUGUAUUCAUUAAUCUCCAGUAAGUGCAAAAAAAAAUAAAAGUUUUUAACUUUUCAAAGAGGUUGUGAUGCCCCAUGGGGUAUAUUCCUGUGAGCUUUUAACAGGCAGUGCUGGAAGCCAAAUGCUGCUACCUGCCACAAGGCCUGCACACCCUCAUCCUACCAGCAAAGCAUUUACUGGGGCCUAUCAUGAAUGUCCAGUCCCAGCUUCUGCCUCCCCUCCUGCUUGAACUGGCACAGGCACAGGCUGUCUAAAGAAGCUCUUCUAUCUCUGGAAGUGUUCAAGGCCAGGUGGGAUAGGGUUUCAAACAUCCUGCUCUAGAGUACGGUAUUCAGGCAGGGGAGUUGAAAUUAGAUAAUCUUUAGAGUUCCUUCCAACCCAAAUAAGUCUAGAUUCUAUGACUCUAUGUUGCCCCUCCACUGUCC
ensembl:lncRNA